rnacentral:tRNA from 1 species
UGCACCUGUAGCUCAGGGGAUAGAGCAAUGGUUUCCGGUACCAUGUGGCGGGGGUUCGAAUCCCUCCAGGUGCGU